GGAUAUAGGGGCACGGCGCCAGCGACUCAUAAUCGCUAGGUCCAUGGUUCAAGUCCAUGCGGAGCCACCA
rnacentral:tRNA from 1 species